rnacentral:piRNA from 1 species
UACAUCCAUUGUUAGCCCAGGGUCC